AGCGAACGCUGGCGGCAGGCUUAACACAUGCAAGUCGAGCGGGCGUAGCAAUACGUCAGCGGCAGACGGGUGAGUAACGCGUGGGAACAUACCUUUUGGUUCGGAACAACACAGGGAAACUUGUGCUAAUACCGGAUAAGCCCUUACGGGGAAAGAUUUAUCGCCGAAAGAUUGGCCCGCGUCUGAUUAGCUAGUUGGUGAGGUAACGGCUCACCAAGGCGACGAUCAGUAGCUGGUCUGAGAGGAUGAUCAGCCACAUUGGGACUGA
rnacentral:rRNA from 1 species